GAUGAACGCUAGCUACAGGCCUAACACAUGCAAGUCGAGGGGCAGCGGGAAGGAAGCUUGCUUUCUUCGCCGGCGACCGGCGCACGGGUGCGUAACGCGUAUCGAACCUACCCUUUACUCGGGAACAGCCUUGCGAAAGCAAGAUUAAUGCCCGAUGUUCCGCGUUUGCUGCAUGGCAAAUUCGGCAAAGAUUUAUUGGUAAAGGAUGGCGAUGCGUCCCAUUAGUUAGUUGGCGGGGUAACGGCCCACCAAGACGACGAUGGGUAGGGGUUCUGAGAGGAAGGUCCCCCACAUUGGAACUGAGACACGGUCCAAACUCCUACGGGAGGCAGCAGUGAGGAAUAUUGGUCAAUGGGCGCAAGCCUGAACCAGCCAAAGUAGCGUGCAGGACGACGGCCCUAUGGGUUGUAAACUGCUUUCAGUCGGGAAUAAUUCGUCGGUCGUGACCGACGUUGCAGGUACCGUCAUAAGAAGGACCGGCUAAUUCCGUGCCAGCCGCCGCAGUAAU
rnacentral:rRNA from 1 species